AUUAAGAGUGGUUAAUAUUUUAAAAUAAAUAAAUAAAUAAAUGAAUGAUGAUGAAUGAAGUUCUUAUGCAAGAAUAGAGACAUUGACCUUCUUCUAUUCACAAGAGAUAGAUUUGAUUUGAGUCAUGAGAUAUUGAACAUUAUUUUAUAGAAAAUGAGAUCAUAAUUUUGAAAUCUUGAAAUAUUGAAAAUCUUUGAGAUGUUAAUCUUGAUAAAUAAGAAAAUGGAUGGUUCCGUUC
rnacentral:lncRNA from 1 species